rnacentral:tRNA from 2 species
AUUCUAUUAGUAUAUAAGUAUAUUUAACUUCCAAUUAAAAGGAUUAAUUUU